AUGAACCAGAAAGAAGAGGAGGCAAGCGAUCUAGCAAUUGUACCAUGCUGCCCCACAAAUAGAGCACUGAGAGAAGGAGGGUUGCUUACAUGUAAUGAACCCUCAUCCUGUCUGCUGGAACUGGCAGUCAGCCUACCAUUCCUGUAAUGCAGAGCAUGUGUCAGCCCAGAGGGGUUUCAGAGGAGCCCACCAAUUCAUUUUCUUCUAGUCACAAAGCAGCUACCAGUAGAAGAGCUGGAUUCACACUGAUGAAAGGGCUUUUGCGAAUAUCACAGUGGAAAUCAUUUUGAGGUCUCUACACUGCAUUAUAAUCAUGACAGACCUACCUGGCAGACCAAAUAAUCUGAUCUCUCAAAACAUCUGGACAGCAAUCAAAGAACACUGCUACAAGAUGGUUAAAGUAGUCUUAAGAAAGACUAAUAACUUCUCAAUGUCAUGCAAGUUUGGGACAGAGACUUUCAGUUUCACUGAGAGAUGAUUGAAGUUUUGCAGAAGAUGUGAAUGUGGCAAGGAUUUCACUCCAGAUCCCAUGUCUCCCAGUUUCAUACUCCUUUUACCAGACUGUAACUAAGGGACUUUGGUGAUAUGGACUUUCAGUCCACAGUGUUUUUUAAUAAUACUGUGGUUUUAAGUAAAAGAGGCUUUUGUUCUGACUUUUGUCUUUUUGUUUGCCUUGAUUCAUGGGACUGCAGAGUGUGUACAGUAAGAAUGAAAUUGUCACUUCG
rnacentral:lncRNA from 1 species